CACCAGGUGGACAAGAGAUGGCUGCUCCUCUGCUAAGAUCUUUGGUUUUGUGGCGAGGAAGUCGAUGAAUGGGACGGAGAACGUGUGUCACCUGUUUGCUGAACAUGACCCCGAACAACCCGCCAGCGCCAUCGUAAACUUUGUAUCCAAGGUGAUGAUUGGCUCACCGAAGAAAUAACACAGCGCGCGCACACACACACACACACACACACACACACACACACAUUGUUUGUCCUGCUGGUACAUACAGCACUAAAAUUCUGAUGUAGAAGAGAAGAGACUAAUGUGUUGCAUUAUGGGAUACUACCCGCAGAAGCAACAACUUUACGCUACACACCAGGGGCCUCAUUUAUAAACAUUGCAUAUACACAACAUUUGCACCAAAAUCUGCAUGCACCAGUUUUCAACAAAAGUUAUCAUUUAUAAAAACUUGCUGUGAGAAUGUGAUCCCCUCCCCGCAGACUUUAGACCAUACAUAUGCACAUCUGCUAGUGGUUGAAAUAUUCUAUUACAAGCUGGAAAGUAAGGAUUUUGUAACGUUCUGUUGACAGGUUCACAGCAAUUUGCCAGUGUUUUCUCUUUCAGAAACUGACUGACAGUCCUUUUCCAGAUACACCAUAAAUUACUGCAAAAGAUUKAAACAUCCUGCCAACACAGUAAAUAGACCGGUAGUUUAUGUAAAAUAUUUGACAGUAUGGGUAUAGGUUACAGUAUUGCUGUGCGAUAGGAGCGCAAAAUCAUUGCGUAUUUAAUCUCAGAGCAUAUACCAAGGCAGGACAUAGAAACCCAAUAAUCUAUUGAUAAACUAAAUAUUGAACAACAAUUCUUGUUUUGCAUGCUGUGGCCUAAUGCCAAUCGUUCCAAAUUAUGCCUCAAAUAUUGGGCGUUAUGGUCACCCUAAAAGGUGGAUGGAGGGUGUUUUCCAGGCAGUUGUAAAACUGUGUGUGCGCCAAAUUGAUAAAUGUCAAUAUUUCUGUAUUUGUGCAGACUUUUCAGAAAUGGGUCAUGCAGACAUCUAGUGUGAAUGUAUGCAAUGGUUAUAAAUGAGGCCCCAGAGGUGUACUGUAGGGUGAUGUUGCCCCCUAGACACUGAUCUUGGGCUAGUUUAGCAUUUCCCCCACUAAUGGUUAAGGUCAGGAUUGGGGGAAGGGAAAUCUGAUCUGAUCCUUGAUCUGUUACUAGGAUAAGCUUUACCCUGAAGCGCAUCGAGGACUUAAAAACAUAACGUUAUUAAUAGAACUUUUUGUUAUCAGAGGAGGCUGAUGGGCAGAGAUCAUUGUAAUGGCUGGAAUGGACAGAACUGUAUCAAACACAUCAAACACAUGGUUUUAUUACAAAGAGCACGUCCUCCUUUAUCUCCGCCCACCAGCCACCACUGCUGUUUGUGUAUAUAUAGUCAGGAUGUCAUUGUAAAGGGAGGUAAUCUGUCAUGUAUGAUAUGUAUUUUUAAUUGAGACAUGUUUUUAACAAAUAUAUUUGCUGAAAUGUAAUCAGUAUGAUAUUGUCCCUCUAAUCACACAGCAUUACUAGUCUGUCUCUACCCGCCAUGCAGAGUAAAAGGCUCUCAACAAAGAACAUGGUCACUUUUAAUCACUUCAGCCAAUCCCUUCGAACUCAUAUUAUCAAUGAAACACUAUAUACUUUACAAUCCAGUGCUUGACUUGGUGCGGAACACACCAAUAUAAACAGUACCGGCACCUAAAAUGAGUUCCGGCACCUACUUCAGUCCAAGUCAUGCACUGCUACUACUUUCUUCAGAAGCUUUUCAUAUAGAUACUGUAUACUGUACUUUUCCUCUGUAAGCCAGUAGGAUCAACCUGUAAGCCACUAGUAUCAACUGACAGUUUUUUUUCAAUCACUUUGGUGCUGUUUUCACAAGCAUGUGGUGAAUUUCCUAAACUCUUAGUACAAAACUCCAAACUGGUAACACUUGUAAAGCAGCCAGUCUUAAAUUCAAAACCUUUUAUUUUGCAUUCAUCUUUCACACACAACCAUUGAUCCACAAUAUACAUUUACUGUAAAAUACCAGCAUAACAUUGAUUUAAUCACCAAACACAACAAUUUAGUUUUUUUUAACAACCAGUUAAUGCAAUAGCAAACAAUGCAAGAUACAUGUUUAAAAAAUGCCCUUAAAUUACAGUACUUUACACUGUUUUCAAAUUAGGCAAUACACUUUCACUACCCAUCAAAAUGUACCCGUCAAAAAUAUAAAAUCAAAUUUCCAUAAUUUCUAUGUUAUGUGUGAUCAGAGGUGUGAUCAUUAAAGGCAUCUUUCACAAUCAUUGAUGCAAAAAAUAAAUGUAUAUUGUUCAUAGGUGUACUGUAAUCAUAUGAAACAAAUGAAAUGAAUGAAAAAAAACUCCGUUUAGUAGGCACUUGUUUUCAUCAAGCCUGUCUUCUCAUCAACAUCGCAAUGUCCUCAUUCUUCAUACACCUGGUAAAAAAAAUUGGCACAGCGAAUCCAAGCCUGACAUCUCGUUUCAUGUCAUUGCAUGGCCUGAUGAGGGUGGCACGCUCAUUGGAAUGGCGACCAUACUCCUUCCACCUGUAUUCUAAUUAUGUAUUGUAUUUUACAGUAUUGUAUUGUACUUAUGUAUUGUAGGGGUCCUGUGUGGCUCAGUUAGUAAGAGCAUGGCAUUAGCAAUACCAGAGUGGUGGGUUUGAUUCCAGGGUUGGGGUCAAUUCAAUUCCAAUUCUCGUCAAUCAGUGACAUUUGGAAUUAGAAUUAGGUUUCAUGUGACUUUCUGAAUUGACUGGAAUUGACCCCAACUCUGUUUGAUAUACAAGAAUGUGUUGACUCACUGUGGUCCCUUUGGGUAAAAACAGCUGCUACAUAAAUAUGUACAUAUGUUACAGUAUUACAGUACUGUAUUGGCCAAUGCAAUUUUAGUAAAUUAGUGUACCCCCCCCCCCCCAUCAAAAAGACCCCAGCAACUUCCUUUUAGAUUCAUGUUUACCGUAUAGGGCAGGGGUAUUCAACUCUUACCCUACAAGGCCCGGAGACUGCUGGUUUUCUGUUCUACCUGAUAUUUAAUUMCACACACCUGGUGUCCCAACCAUUUUAGAAUCUAUAGGUUUACCAAAUUAAGAGAUUAUCAAUUAAGAGCAGUCGGAUUAAGUAAUAGGUAAAUGUAUUUUAACAAAUGAGAAGACAAUCAUAUCAAAAGUAAUGUGAGGAUUGCAUUGUGAAAUUCAAUGACUUUAUAUGAACAUGUAUUGCAAUGUCAAACAUUUAUUUCUAGAUGAAUCACUGAUUAAGUUUGGGGGAAAAUGACUAUGAUUUUGCGUGUUGUAUUUAGUCAAUUGAAAAUAUGCUUAGCGUUUUGAAACACCUGCCUUUUUGGUGAUCUGUUUUGAGUUUUGUACUAAAUGUUCCACAUGCUUGUGAAAAUUGCACCAAAGUGAUUGGAAAAAACUGUAAUAGUGUUCAACCCCACCAGGGAUUAGCACCAUAUCACACGGGUGUAGGAUUUGCAAACUUAGUGUGUAUUCGAGAUUUAAAAAGGCUUCUAAAGUUUUUAAUGUCUACUUGAUUUGCCCUAACAAAAAAUGUGUCAACCCCUACAAAAAUGUGCAGCAGUAAUUAUAAUCCACAUAAUAAUGAACAUUUCCUGUUGCUGCAGGAUUAUUUUGCUGCUGUGAGAAACUGCUCCAAUUAAUACCUGACGAUUCUACUUACAUGUUGAAUCGGCUCUGUUUGAUGACACCCAAUAGACGAUCUUCUGGCCACGGCCAA